rnacentral:rRNA from 1 species
UACGGAGGGUGCGAGCGUUGUCCGGAAUCAUUGGGCGUAAAGGGCGCGUAGGUGGCCCGGUCAGUCCGUGGUGAAAGCGCGGGGCUCAACCCCGCGUCGGCCAUGGAUACUGCUGGGCUUGAGCACUGUAGAGGCAGGCGGAAUUCCGGGUGUAGCGGUGGAAUGCGUAGAGAUCCGGAAGAACACCGGUGGCGAAGGCGGCCUGCUGGGCAGUGGCUGACACUGAGGCGCGACAGCGUGGGGAGCAAACAGGGAUU